GACGAACGCUGGCGGCGUGCCUCAUACAUGCAAGUAGAACGAUUUGCGAACGGGUGAGUAACGCGUGGUAACCUGCCUCCUAGCGGGGGAUAACUAUUGGAAACGAUCGCUCAUACCUCAUCCUUUUGGAUGGACCUGCGUUGUAUUCGCUAGUUGGUGAGGUAAAGGCUCACCAAGGCGACGAUACAUAGCCGACCUGAGAGGGUGAUCAGCCACACUGGAACUGAGACACGGUCCAGACUCCUACGGGAGGCAGCAGUGGGGAAUAUUGCACAAUGGGAGCAAGCAGGAUGCAGCCAUGCCGCGUGUAUGAAGAAGGCCUUCGGGUUGUAAAGUACUUUCAGCGGGGAGGCGUUACCCGCAGAAGAAGCACCGGCGAACUCCGUGCCAGCAGCCGCGGUAAUUC
rnacentral:rRNA from 1 species